GUUGGAUAGGUCACACCAUACGAAAAUCAUCUGGACUGCUUAACUAGAGCGAGAGAGAGUACAUCUCAACACCCAAUCUUAAGUCAUGAGAACCUUACACAAACAUGACAAACAUACUGUGCAGAUAUAUCUACAAAUUCAUUGUUGUACACAAUAUUGUGUCAUAUUUGAUGAGUUACUGACCUGUCCAUCCACAGGCUCGAUCUUCUGUAGUUUCAACAACUGGACGCUUGUACUCAGAUCACACUGGCACAGGAUGUCCAUGCACCGGAUGGGCUGAGGGUGGCACUCCUAUUGGAUGGGAAAUCAAAGAGAUAUUUGCCACUUCUCUGAUGAGUGGGUCUUGGAAGUUUACAAGUACACAGCAAGUCUGCACCAGCAUAUUACUAUAACAAUGCAGAUAAGGUGGGAUGAAUCUCAGGAUUUUUUAAUCUUUUGGUAGAGCAUUUGCCCUCUCAACAUGGAUCCUAUUUCUCACUAUGUCUUUUGUGAGAUGUCUCUCACUCUCUGUGAACCUUCCAUGGAUCAAGAAUGGAGGAAUGUGUUUGUGUUUGUUGUCUGUAGCUUAUGCCUGCCCAUAUCAUAACCCCACUGCCUCAAUGGGUCACUCUGUAGCUUAAGGCAUGAGGACAAGCACACUACCUUAUGUUUCAGGGCAUGAGGGCAAGCACAAUACCUUAUGAAUUCUACCACUUAUUGUCCCCAGCACAAGGUGUAUCUGUGUAAUGAUCAUGCUGUUUAAUCAGCUUCUUGAUAUGCCACACCUGUCAGGUGGAUUCAUUAUCUUGGCAAAGGAGAAAUGCUCACUGACAGAGAUGUAAACAAAUUUGUGACAACAUUUUAGAGAAAUAAGCUUUUUGUGCGUAUGGAACAUUUCUGGGAACUUUUAUUUCCGCUCAUGAAACAUGGGACUUAGAUGCUGUAGUUCUGUAUGAUAGCCACAUUAGUGGCUAAUUAAUAUUUCAUUUUGGGUGGUGAUUACAGGAGAAUUUAUUGAUAAAAGUUACUUUUCUGAGAGAGAUUAACGUUGUUAUCAAAACGUCAAGCCUAAACAAAAAAGGGAAUACCUAGUCAGUUGUACAACUGAAUGCCUUCAAAUGUGUCUUCCACAUUUAACACAACCCCUCUGAAUCAGAGCGGUGUGGGGGGCUGCCUUAGUUGACAUCCACAGGGAACUGCCUCACUCAGGGGCCAAACAACAUAUUUUAUCUUGUCAGCUCAGGGAUUCGAUCCAGCAACCUUUCAGUUAUUGGCUCAGUGCUCUAACCACUAGGCUACCUGCCUC
rnacentral:lncRNA from 1 species